rnacentral:rRNA from 1 species
UACAGAGGUCCCAAGCGUUGUUCGGAUUUACUGGGCGUAAAGGGUGCGUAGGCGGCCGGCAAAGUCUGAUGUGAAAUCUCGGAGCUUAACUCCGAAACUGCACUGGAUACUGGCUGGCUAGAGGAGUGGAUGGGAGACUGGAAUUCUCGGUGUAGCAGUGAAAUGCGUAGAUAUCGAGAGGAACACCAGUGGCGAAGGCGAGUCUCUGGACAUUUCCUGACGCUGAGGCACGAAAGCCAAGGGAGCAAACGGG